rnacentral:rRNA from 1 species
CGGACGGGUGAGUAAUGCUUGGGAAUCUGGCUUAUGGGGGGGGAUAACUACGGGAAACUGUAGCUAAUACCGCGUAGUAUCGGAAGAUGAAAGUGUGGGACCGCAAGGCCACAUGCCAUAAGAUGAGCCCAAGUGGGAUUAGGUAGUUGGUUAGGUAAAGGCUGACCAAGCCGACGAUCUCUAGCUGGUCUGAGAGGAUGACCAGCCACACUGGAACUGAGACACGGUCCAGACUCCUACGGGAGGCAGCAGUGGGGAAUAUUGCACAAUGGGGGGAACCCUGAUGCAGCCAUGCCGCGUGAAUGAAGAAGGCCUUCGGGUUGUAAGGUUCUUUCGGUGAUGAGGAAGGUGUUUGUUUUAAUAGGACAAGCAAUUGACGUUAGUCACAGAAGAAGCACCGGCUAACUCCGUGCCAGCAGCCGCGGUAAUACGGAGGGUGCGAGCGUUAAUCGGAAUAACUGGGCGUAAAGGGCACGCAGGCGGUGACUUAAGUGAGAUGUGAAAGCCCCGAGCUUAACUUGGGAAUUGCAUUUCAUACUGGGUCGCUAGAGUACUUUAGGGAGGGGUAGAAUUCCACGUGUAGCGGUGAAAUGCGUAGAGAUGUGGAGGAAUACCGAAGGCGAAGGCAGCCCCUUGGGAAUGUACUGACGCUCAUGUGCGAAAGCGUGGGGAGCAAACAGGAUUAGAUACCCUGGUAGUCCGCGCUGUAAACGCUGUCGAUUUGGGGAUUGGGCUUUGAGCUUGGUGCCCGUAGCUAACGUGAUAAAUCGACCGCCUGGGGAGUACGGCCGCAAGGUUAAAAACUCAAUGAAUUUGACGGGG